UCAGCAUUUCACUGUAAGGUCUACCUACACCUGUUGUAUUCAGCAUUUCACUAAGGUCUACUACACCUGUUGUAUUCAAGUCUACUACACCUGUUGUAGUCAGCAUUUCACUGUAAGGUCUACUACACCUGUUGUAUUCAGCAUUUCACUGUAAGGUCUACUUCACCUGUUGUAUUCAGCAUUUCACUGUAAGGUCUACUACACCUGUUGUAUUCAGCAUUUCACUGUGAGGUCUACUACACCUGUUGUAUUCAGCAUUUCACUGUGAGGUCUACUACACCUGUUGUAUUCAGCAUUUCACUGGAAAGGUCUACUACACCUGUUGUAUUCAGCAUUUCACUGUGAGGUCUACUACACCUGUUGUAGUCAGCAUUUCACUGUCAGGUCUACUACACCUGUUGUAUUCAGCAUUUCACUGUAAGGUCUACUACACCUGUUGUAUUCAGCAUUUCACAGUAAGGUCUACUACACCUGUUGUAUUCAGCAUUUCACUGUAAGGUCUACUACACCUGUUGUAUUCAGCAUUUAACAGUAAGGUCUACUACACCUGUUGUAUUCAGCAUUUCACAGUAAGGUCUACUACACCUGUUGUAUUCAGCAUUUCACAGUAAGGUCUACUACACCUGUUGUAUUCAGCAUUUCACUGUAAGGUCUAGUACACCUGUUGUAUUCAGCAUUUCACUGUAAGGUCUAGUACACCUGUUGUAUUCAGCAUUUC
ensembl:lncRNA